rnacentral:misc_RNA from 1 species
GAUGAAGAACGUAGCGAAAUGCGAUAAGUAAUGUGAAUUGCAGAAUUCAGUGAAUCAUCGAAUCUUUGAACGCACAUUGCGCCCGCCAGUAUUCUGGCGGGCAAGUCUGUUCGAGCGUCAUUUCAACCAUCAAGCCCCCGGCUUGUGUUGGGGACCUGCGGCUGCCGCAGGCCCUGAAAACCAGUGGCGGGCUCGCUAGUCACUCCGAGCGUAGUAAUACAUCUCGCUCAGGGCGUGCUGCGGGUUCCGGCCGUUAAAAGCCUUAUUUUACCCAAGGUUGACCUCGGAUCAGGUAGGAAGACCCGCUGAACUUAAGCAUAUCAAUAAGCGGAGGA